rnacentral:lncRNA from 1 species
UGACAAACCCAUGUCCUAUGGUAAAGAUACAAUUUUUUAAUGCACAUUAUUCACAGCGGGGCCCACAGAGAUGGCUCCCAUCUCAAUGAUAUCUAGUUUAAUUCAAAAACCAUUGAGACAGUAUAUUUUGGGAUUAUUCGUACAUUCACUGAAAAUAAAACAAUGUAUGAAAGCAUAUUUAUUGAAUAUAAUGCAUUAGAAGAAGAACUUUCAAAAAUGAGAAUAUUUUGCCAAUGUUUUGAAAUUUGCCAGAUUAUAACAUUCUACUCAAUUUGCUGUCAUUUGGUUGGAAAAUAGGGUAUAUUUUUAACAAAAGAACUUUGUUGUUUAUAGAGUCAAGUUUGAUUCAGAAAGCUGUUGCUUUAAUAGUAAAUUUGGUCCAAAAUUGUACCUACUCCUUUGUAAAAAAUAAUGUGUUCGUGGUUUUAGAUAUUGUACACUCCUGGCACCUGCCUAAUUUGGUUAGAACUCACAACCUCAGUGUUUAUAGUUUAAUCAUCAAUGUAAGAUAAAAUACUUAGAAUAAUAAGCCACCAAGGCACCACAUGUUAAAUUGAUUUACUCAUGAAGAUGUGAACAGAUAUGUAUACUUCUCUCUGGUGAGGGUAAAAGAUUUGUACAGAAAAAUAUCUAUAAGUAUGUACUUCUUUGAAAAGGGUGAAUAGAUGCUACCAGAAAUUUAUUUCUCUGCAAUAAAUUAAAGUGAAGGGAUACAUGGAGAAAUAACAGAUUGGUUUACUCUCUUGAAAAGGGCUAUUGACAUGUAUUUAGAGGUACGGUUAGCUCUGGGAUACACUGGAGGUAGUUGUGACCAGAUUUGUGUAUUUUAUUAGGUUAAACAAUGUGUACAGAGAUUAUAUCAAGAAGCUACACUUUUCUGUGAAAGUGUGAAUUCAUUUGUAUUGAGAUAAGGCAAUGGGUUAUUGGUCAGUGAUAUUAGUUGCUUUAAUUGUUCAUGAUAGUAAACUUUGGUUGUUCAUGAGGUGUAGGUUCAUUUCUAAUAAACAAUUGUAUGCCUAUGUUUUAUAUGUAGAUAGUAAAUAUUUUGUAUGCUGAUUUUGAUAAGCAGUUAAAUUGUAAAUUGGUCAGUAAUUUAGUUUGUACUGAUAAUUUGUCACUGAUCAAGCAUAAUAUGCUUCCUGAAUAUUGAUGAAAAUUUUGGCACUGGAUGUAAAGUAAGCAGUAGU